UAUGUGGAAGUAGUGGCUAACUGCUGUGAUGGUGUUGAUGUAGACUGCUGCUGCUGGUUCUGUGAGUACUGCUGCUGUGAGUAGGGCUGCUGCUGUCCUGUGGAAUGGGUGACCUGCCCAUGGGUGAGGUGGCCAUCGGUGAGCAUUACAUCACUGGUGGUGGCAUCUGUGAUGGUCCCAUCAGUGACUGUGGC